rnacentral:rRNA from 1 species
CCGGCGGACGGGUGCGUAACGCGUAUGCAACCUACCAUCAACAGGGGGAUAACACUGAGAAAUUGGUACUAAUACCCCAUAAUAUCUCAUGCGGCAUCGCAUGGGGUUGAAAACUCCGGUGGUUGAUGAUGGGCAUGCGUUGUAUUAGCUGGUUGGUGAGGUAACGGCUCACCAAGGCGACGAUACAUAGGGGGACUGAGAGGUUAACCCCCCACAUUGGUACUGAGACACGGACCAAACUCCUACGGAAGGCAGCAG